rnacentral:rRNA from 1 species
AACGAACGCUGGCGGCAGGCCUAACACAUGCAAGUCGAGCGCCCUUUCGGGGGAGCGGCGGACGGGUGAGUACCGCGUGGGAAUAUGCCCUUCUCUACGGAAUAGCCUCGGGAAACUGAGAGUAAUACCGUAUACGCCCUGUGGGGGAAAGAUUUAUCGGGGAAGGAUUAGCCCGCGUUGGAUUAGGUAGUUGGUGGGGUAAUGGCCUACCAAGCCGACGAUCCAUAGCUGGUUUGAGAGGCUGAUCAGCCACACUGGGACUGAGACACGGCCCAGACUCCUACGGGAGGGAGCAGUGGGGAAUCUUAGACAAUGGGGGCAACCCUGAUCUAGCCAUGCCGCGUGAGUGAUGAAGGCCUUAGGGUUGUAAAGCUCUUUCAGCUGGGAAGAUAAUGACGGUACCAGCAGAAGAAGCCCCGGCUAACUCCGUG